AACCCUACGGGGGGCAGCAGUGAGGAAUAUUGGUCAAUGGGCGCGAGCCUGAACCAGCCAAGUCGCGUGAGGGAUGACGGUCCUACGGAUUGUAAACCUCUUUUGCCGGGGAGCAAGCGUGCGUUCGUGAACGCGCGUCGAGAGUACCCGGAGAAAAAGCAUCGGCUAACUCCGUGCCAGCAGCCGCGGUAAUACGGAGGAUGCGAGCGUUAUCCGGAAUGAUUGGGCGUAAAGGGUGCGUAGGCGGCCUGCUAAGUCUGGAGUGAAAGGUACCGGCUCAACCGGUACAGGCUCUGGAAACUGGC
rnacentral:rRNA from 1 species